rnacentral:lncRNA from 1 species
GAACCCGAUGAAUAAACUAUAGCAGCUAUGGAAUUAGUACUUUAUGAACGAACCUUGGCAGCUAUGGAUUUUGUGCCAGUCCUAUAACCCUAGAAGCAAGGGACCUCAAAAUAAACGAAUGCAGGAUAGAUGACUCUUAGGAUAGAUCCUUAAGAGUAAAGAAGAUAACGGGGAUGGGUAAUUGGGUUGAUUGUUUGAUUGUUUAAACACAAUAAUUAUAUUAUUGUGGGUUGAAAACCCUAUGUACUCACCAGGCUUCCCAACCUGACCCACUCAGUUUAUUUAUGUCACAAGUGUUGUUAUGAUGUCACAUUACACUGAGAGAUUAAGGAGAUGUAAAUCACUAGUGAUAAUGAAUGUAAGUUCUGUUUAUGCUUAUGUUUCUGUAUUGACGAUGACAUCCCAAAUGUUUUAAAAUGAAUAAAAAUACAUUUCUUCAGAAAUGCUUUGAUAACGUAUUUAUCAUGUUUUACUGGGAACAAAUUCCCCAACAUUUUUAUUAAAAGAGGUACUUUGAUUUUUACAAAGCAUAAACAAAAUCGGUCUUUUCUGGCCGUGAAAAUGGGGAUGUCACAGGUUAUACCCAUGACCCUUGGAAUCCUACAUAUAAAUAGGUCACUCCAUAGCCAAAAUCGCCACUUCUAGUUCUUCGAGCUCAAGGAGUUGAUUUUGGUGUGGAAGGAAUCUCUCUCAAGUUCUACCUUUUUCCAUGAUGUGUUGUGACUUCAUUUUAGGCUUCCACAUUAUUAGAGCUAAGCUCUUAAGGCCAAAUACAUCAAGUCUUCAAGCUACAUAAAAUGUUUGUUACUCUAACUAGUAUCUUAUAUGGUAUACGACAAUUUCAUGCUAAUUAUAGGAUCAAUCCCUUGGAAAUAACUGCAUGUAUAAUUUGUGAAAACUUAGAUCCAAGAUAUUUAGGGUUGUAUGUGCGCCAUAGGAUGUUGUAAUAUACUAUAACGGCCGUAGAUCCGGGCUAGUCAAUUUAGAGACGACAAGCGUCAAAAAUGACUUUUUGAUAUAAGAGUAUUUAGAAGAAAUAAUGUUAACCAAGUUGUAGUAUAUGUAACAAGGUUUCCGUGCAUAUAAAGAACGCUGAAAUCCGAGUUAUAACGAAGAAGUUAUGACCUGUCGAAGUUUCGCGACAGAUCCGGUACGACACAACGCGACGUAAAUAGUGAAUUUACGAUCGAGCGAUAUUUGGCCUAAGUGAUCUAAACGAAAGUCGUAGAUUACGUUAAACCGAGAGCGUGCAUAAAAAGAACAUCCAAAUAUGACUUCGUAUGAGGAAGUUAUGAUUUUUCUCAGUUUCAGCUUAGCAGUGUGCAUCCCGAAGUUCGAAGGUCUCGUCGAUAGUAGUCCAACGGUAAAAAGACAGACGAAAACGGACGUCGGAUGAAGAAGUUUUGAGUUUAUAACGGAGUUUUCCUGUCCCGGCCUACUAAAAAUAAUAUAAUAAAAAUAAAAUUCAAAAUUAGCCGACGGAGUCUAAACGAAAGUUGUAGAGCAUAAUCUCACCUACGAGUGGAUAUAAAGAACGUCGAAAACGGAGAUCGUAUGCGAAAGUUAUGAUUUUCUGAACUUCGAGGCAUGCAUCCCAAAGAGGGAACGCCCCGCGUUCAGUACAUGGCUCCGGAUUGGCCACAUCGAUGCUGGCUCAGUGGAUAAGGGAUAUGAUCGGAACCCCGCUCCUACGCGUUGAUGGCUGCUGAAGACGAGUUUGACGGAGCUGGAUGGAAGCGUUGGCAAUGCUGGAGGAGACGGUGACCGAUUGGUGACGGAGUGUUGGCGGAGGGAAGAUUUAAGGUUGCAGAACACUUCUGACGUUCUAAAUUUUGAAUUACCGGGGACGAUAAUUAUUGAGGAACACGAAAGCACGUAAAGGAGUGGGCAGUGGUAUCGGCAUCGUUACCGGAGUCGGCAUCGCUCGUGGAGGGAGGCAGGGGAUGGUUGCAGAUCGGAGAAGGAAUAUCGUCGAUGGAGUAGAAAGAUGUGAAGAGGGAAGGUUGUUGAAAUGCUAUUAGGGGCAAAAGGGAAUACGCGUCUCUUUUUUAAUUCAUACCUCGUUCUACAUCUGAAAAAAUAAGAGGCUUUUGUUAAAUUAAGUGGCCAUUAUUAAGAUUCUACCAAACACACUUAAUCUGAAAAAAUAAGAAGAUGCCUCUUAAUUUUCCAGUUAAGAGGCUACUAAACAGCCCCUUAGUGCCUAAUAAACAACAUCGGCAGCUACGGACUUAGUGUCUAUUGGACAAACACUGGUAGUUAUAGACUUAGUACCCGUUAGGAAUUGGUAGCUAUAGACUUAGUACCUACUAGAUAAACACUGGUAGCUAUGGACUUAGUACUUGUUAGGAAUUGGUAGCUAUGGACUUAGUACCUAUUAGAUAAACACAGGUAGCUAUGGAUUUAGAACCCGAUGAAUAAACUAUAGCAGCUAUGGAAUUAGUGCUUUAUGAACGAACCUUGGCAGCUAUGGAUUUAGUGCCAGUCCUAUAACCCUGGAAGCAAGGGACCUCAAAAUAAACGAAUGCAGGAUAGAUGACUCUUAGGAUAGAUCCUUAAGAGUAAAGAAGAUAACGGGGAUGGGUAAUUGGGUUGAUUGUUUGAUUGUUUAAACACAAUAAUUAUAUUAUUGUGGGUUGAAAACCCUAUGUACUCACCAGGCUUCCCAACCUGACCCACUCAGUUUAUUUAUGUCACAAGUGUUGUUAUGAUGUCACAUUACACUGAGAGAUUAAGGAGAUGUAAAUCACUAGUGAUAAUGAAUGUAAGUUCUGUUUAUGCUUAUGUUUCUGUAUUGACGAUGACAUCCCAAAUGUUUUAAAAUGAAUAAAAAUACAUUUCUUCAGAAAUGCUUUGAUAACGUAUUUAUCAUGUUUUACUGGGAACAAAUUCCCCAACAUUUUUAUUAAAAGAGGUACUUUGAUUUUUACAAAGCAUAAACAAAAUCGGUCUUUUCUGGCCGUGAAAAUGGGGAUGUCACAGGUUAUACCCAUGACCCUUGGAAUCCUACAUAUAAAUAGGUCACUCCAUAGCCAAAAUCGCCACUUCUAGUUCUUCGAGCUCAAGGAGUUGAUUUUGGUGUGGAAGGAAUCUCUCUCAAGUUCUACCUUUUUCCAUGAUGUGUUGUGACUUCAUUUUAGGCUUCCACAUUAUUAGAGCUAAGCUCUUAAGGCCAAAUACAUCAAGUCUUCAAGCUACAUAAAAUGUUUGUUACUCUAACUAGUAUCUUAUAUGGUAUACGACAAUUUCAUGCUAAUUAUAGGAUCAAUCCCUUGGAAAUAACUGCAUGUAUAAUUUGUGAAAACUUAGAUCCAAGAUAUUUAGGGUUGUAUGUGCGCCAUAGGAUGUUGUAAUAUACUAUAACGGCCGUAGAUCCGGGCUAGUCAAUUUAGAGACGAUAAGCGUCAAAAAUGACUUUUUGAUAUAAGAGUAUUUAGAAGAAAUAAUGUUAACCAAGUUGUAGUAUAUGUAACAAGGUUUCCGUGCAUAUAAAGAACGCUGAAAUCCGAGUUAUAACGAAGAAGUUAUGACCUGUCGAAGUUUCGCGACAGAUCCGGUACGACACAACGCGACGUAAAUAGUGAAUUUACGAUCGAGCGAUAUUUGGCCUAAGUGAUCUAAACGAAAGUCGUAGAUUACGUUAAACCGAGAGCGUGCAUAAAAAGAACAUCCAAAUAUGACUUCGUAUGAGGAAGUUAUGAUUUUUCUCAGUUUCAGCUUAGCAGUGUGCAUCCCGAAGUUCGAAGGUCUCGUCGAUAGUAGUCCAACGGUAAAAAGACAGACGAAAACGGACGUCGGAUGAAGAAGUUUUGAGUUUAUAACGGAGUUUUCCUGUCCCGGCCUACUAAAAAUAAUAUAAUAAAAAUAAAAUUCAAAAUUAGCCGACGGAGUCUAAACGAAAGUUGUAGAGCAUAAUCUCACCUACGAGUGGAUAUAAAGAACGUCGAAAACGGAGAUCGUAUGCGAAAGUUAUGAUUUUCUGAACUUCGAGGCAUGCAUCCCAAAGAGGGAACGCCCCGCAUUCAGUACAUGGCUCCGGAUUGGCCACAUUGAUGCUGACUCAGUGGAUAAGGGAUAUGAUCGGAACCCCGCUCCUACGUGUUGCGUUCGUG